GCAGCCGCGGUAAUACGUAGGUGGCGAGCGUUAUCCGGAAUUACUGGGUGUAAAGGGUGUGUAGGCGGGCUUGCAAGUCAGAUGUGAAAACUAUGGGCUCAACCCAUAGCCUGCAUUUGAAACUGUAGGUCUUGAGAGUCGGAGAGGUAAACGGAAUUCCGAGUGUAGCGGUGAAAUGCGUAGAUAUUCGGAGGAACACCGGUGGCGAAGGCGGUUUACUGGACGACAACUGACGCUGAGACACGAAAGCGUGGGGAGCAAACAGGAUUAGAUACCCC
rnacentral:rRNA from 1 species